rnacentral:rRNA from 1 species
UGCAAGUCGAACGAUGAUCUCCAGCUUGCUGGGGGGAUUAGUGGCGAACGGGUGAGUAACACGUGAGUAACCUGCCCUUGACUCUGGGAUAAGCCUGGGAAACUGGGUCUAAUACCGGAUAUGACCAUUCCGCGCAUGCGGUGGUGGUGGAAAGCUUUUGCGGUUUUGGAUGGACUCGCGGCCUAUCAGCUUGUUGGUGGGGUAAUGGCCUACCAAGGCGACGACGGGUAGCCGGCCUGAGAGGGUGACCGGCCACACUGGGACUGAGACACGGCCCAGACUCCUACGGGAGGCAGCAGUGGGGAAUAUUGCACAAUGGGCGCAAGCCUGAUGCAGCGACGCCGCGUGAGGGAUGACGGCCUUCGGGUUGUAAACCUCUUUCAGUAGGGAAGAAGCGAAAGUGACGGUACCUGCAGAAGAAGCGCCGGCUAACUACGUGCCAGCAGCCGCGGUAAUACGUAGGGCGCAAGCGUUAUCCGGAAUUAUUGGGCGUAAAGAGCUCGUAGGCGGUUUGUCGCGUCUGCUGUGAAAGACCGGGGCUCAACUCCGGUUCUGCAGUGGGUACGGGCAGACUAGAGUGAUGUAGGGGAGACUGGAAUUCCUGGUGUAGCGGUGAAAUGCGCAGAUAUCAGGAGGAACACCGAUGGCGAAGGCAGGUCUCUGGGCAUUAACUGACGCUGAGGAGCGAAAGCAUGGGGAGCGAACAGGAUUAGAUACCCUGGUAGUCCAUGCCGUAAACGUUGGGCACUAGGUGUGGGGGACAUUCCACGUUUUCCGCGCCGUAGCUAACGCAUUAAGUGCCCCGCCUGGGGAGUACGGCCGCAAGGCUAAAACUCAAAGGAAUUGACGGGGGCCCGCACAAGCGGCGGAGCAUGCGGAUUAAUUCGAUGCAACGCGAAGAACCUUACCAAGGCUUGACAUGAACCGGUAACGCCUGGAAACAGGUGCCCCGCUUGCGGUCGGUUUACAGGUGGUGCAUGGUUGUCGUCAGCUCGUGUCGUGAGAUGUUGGGGUUAAGUCCCGCAACGAGCGCAACCCUCGUUCUAUGUUGCC